GAGAUUAGGCUGUAUGAUCUCCGCAUCUCCAUCAUAUCAUACUGACCACUUCUCUCAAUAAGAUGAUCUUUAGGUAUGUAGUAUCGUUUAUGUAAUCAGCAGUAGGUUUGAAGUUUUCCUUUCAAAAUUAAAUGAGAAUUGACGCUGCACUGUCGCAAGAAAUUAUUUAUGUUCAUCUUUCAAUGCUUCCUUUUCCAGUCAUUGAGCUGCAAACCACUUGAAUCCACAAAUGACCAGAAAAAGCAUUCAGAAAAUGUAUCAAAGCAGCAGAGUGUUGGUUCAAGUAAAGAAAUGGCGCGGUCUCAACCUCAAGAAUCUUCUUUCAUUGAUAACUUCAUUCCACCACCACCUUCACUAGAAUUUAAGAGUGAUUCUGAAAUGGACAUGUCUGAUGUCAAGAGGAAUCUAAAACGUUUACAUGAGUAUAAUGUAAUGCUAAGGGAAAACUUGGUGGCUAGGCAGUCUCUGCUUCAUUCUCCAUCAUCUAGGCAUUCAUCUCAAGUAAACAGUAAUCAAGGUGAAGUUUAACCAGGUUUUUCUCUGGGGAGUGACGAAGAUGAACUGAGAGCAGGCAUUGGUAAAGAGAAUCAUCAUCGAUGCAUGGAUUUAAUUCUGAUAUGGGAGUUGGUCCUUGAUCGAAACAGUAGUUGGAAGUAAUGAUCAGAAAAUAUUCUGUAUGAACCUCUGAAACAUGUAGCAAUGUAGCAUUCCAGGCUAGAUUCUGCUGCAUUCAAAGCUGCUGGAUGGAUAAAGCAUGGUGAUCAAAGUUUUCAUGAUUUUGUCUGGUAUUCUUUCAUGUUCUUCUCAGAUUGAUCUUUUCUAUGGUCGUGGAUGUACUGUUUGUCAUGAAACCAUAUAGCUGAUGUUGGCAUGGUGUCUGGUAUUCUCAAAUAUUGGUGGAGCUAUUUGCAUGUCUAUCUUGCAAAUUAAUUAGUUAGCCAGCCAUCAAAAGAUCCAUUGGUGCAUGCUAGACCAUAUCAAUUAGGUUGGAAGAAGCAGGUUUGGUGCUGUUGGCGAUAUAAUUGUAUUGAUCCUGGAGCGUAAAAAAGUUUAGGCACAGAUCUCUAUUUAGGUCUCCAUGUGCAUUUUCCUUUCGGGUAGAUAAAUGUGUAUCUUGUUUGUAUUUGCAUGUUUCAAAAGUAAUUAUCAAACACGCCUCAUCUAAAACUAGGCGGCCAUCAUGCAGUAUUUGAAAAUUUAGUCAUAUUGUUCAUAACUUGUAAAUAGUAUUGCUUAUUAUAAAUUUAUAAUGUCUUGUUGUGAUAUUGUCACAUUCCAAUCUGAUUC